UACGUAGGGUGCAGGCGUUAAUCGGAAUUACUGGGCGUAAAGCGUGCGCAGGCGGUUUCCUAAGUCAGAUGUGAAAGCCCCGGGCUUAACCUGGGAACUGCGUUUGAAACUGGGAGACUGGAGUGUGGCAGAGGGGGGUGGAAUUCCACGUGUAGCAGUGAAAUGCGUAGAUAUGUGGAGGAACACCGAUGGCGAAGGCAGCCCCCUGGGUUAACACUGACGCUCAUGCACGAAAGCGUGGGGAGCGAUCCGG
rnacentral:rRNA from 1 species